rnacentral:lncRNA from 1 species
UUUUUGAUGUUUGGGCAAUUUGAUUUGAUGUGCCCGGUUUCUCCGAAUUCAUAGCACUUUAUUUGUUCUCCUUGCUUUUUGCCCUUUCGUUCAUACUCUAUUCGCAUGAACUUUUGAAAUCUUUUGAUAACGAGUCCAAACUCAUUGUCUCCAUCCUCAUCAACUUGCGGUUGGCUUGUGCUUGCCUUUAGAGCGAUUCUUUGCCUCCUUUGAUCAUCAACAAGAGGGUUAAGUAUAGUAGAUUCAUAAGUCNNNN